AUUGAACGCUGGCGGCAUGCCUUACACAUGCAAGUCGAACGGUAACAGGUCUUCGGAUGCUGACGAGUGGCGAACGGGUGAGUAAUACAUCGGAACGUGCCUAGUAGUGGGGGAUAACUACUCGAAAGAGUGGCUAAUACCGCAUGAGAUCUACGGAUGAAAGCAGGGGAUCGCAAGACCUUGUGCUACUAGAGCGGCCGAUGGCAGAUUAGGUAGUUGGUGGGAUAAAAGCUUACCAAGCCGACGAUCUGUAGCUGGUCUGAGAGGACGAUCAGCCAGACUGGGACUGGGACACGGCCCAGACUCCUACGGGAGGCAGCAGUGGGGAAUUUUGGACAAUGGGCGCAAGCCUGAUCCAGCAAUGCCGCGUGCAGGAUGAAGGCCUUCGGGUUGUAAACUGCUUUUGUACGGAACGAAAAGCCCUGGGUUAAUACCCUGGGGUCAUGACGGUACCGUAAGAAUAAGCACCGGCUAACUACGUGCCAGCCGCCGCGGUAAAAC
rnacentral:rRNA from 1 species